GAUGAACGCUGGCGGCGUGCUUAACACAUGCAAGUCGAACGAUGAAGCCCAGCUUGCUGGGUGGUUUAGUGGCGAACGGGUGAGUAACACGUGAGUAACCUGCCCUUGACUUUGGGAUAACUUCAGGAAACUGGGGAUAAUACCGGAUAGGAGCUCCUGCUGCAUGGUGGGGGUUGGAAAGUUUCGGCGGUUGGGGAUGGACUCGCGGCUUAUCAGCUUGUUGGUGGGGUAGUGGCUUACCAAGGCUUUGACGGGUAGCCGGCCUGAGAGGGUGACCGGCCACAUGGGGACUGAGAUACGGCCCAGACUCCUACGGGAGGCAGCAGUGGGGAAUAUUGCACAAUGGGAGGAAGCCUGAUGCAGCAACGCCGCGUGCGGGAUGACGGCCUUCGGGUUGUAAACCGCUUUCGCCUGUGACGAAGCGGGAGUGACGGUAAUGGGUAAAGAAGCACCGGCUAACUACGUG
rnacentral:rRNA from 1 species